rnacentral:lncRNA from 1 species
AUGAGAACCAUAAUGAGAAUCACAAUGAGAACAAUCAUGAGAACCAUAAUGAGAACCAUCAUGAUGAUCAUCAUGACAAUAUUUAUUUUCUUUCUAUCCCUGGUGCCGCCUACACUAAAGCUACUUCCUGUAAACCCCCACACACACACACACACACACACCACACACACACACCCACACACACCCUAUACACACACACACACACACACACUACACACACACACACACACACACACACACACACACACACACACACACACACACACACACACACACACACACACACACACACACACACACACACACACACACACCCCCCAUCAACGACAUGCCGAGUGA